GUAAUUGUCAAUAAAUCACCAAACUGGCCAAAUGUCAUCCCUGUCUAUAAGUACAAAAUUAAAUGCAUGUCUAAUUCAUGUGUAAAUGUUAAGUAUGGCCUCAGAGGAAAUCUAAGGUCCCUGAACUCCCCAUGAAAUGUAAAAACUGGAAUGGUGCAAUGCACCAGACUCUUCAAUAAAUUGAUGUGUCAAUGUUAAUUGUAUCUGUUCCUGUUCAAAUAAAAUAUAAAUCUUAUCCAUUGUCAUUGACUUAAUGUAAAGGCUGAGAUGCAUGAGAUUACAUGAGCAUUUAAACAAUAAAUAUGCAUACAGACCCAAGUGCUUUAAAACAAAUGGAAACGGAUUGCAUGUGCUCCUGAAACCGGUACUUCCCCAGGUCUUGCAGAUAGUAGAUUGAGAGCUACUUCCAUUAGUGCUUCAAGAGGCUCAGCCCAUGAAAUGGGUUGCCUAGCAACACAGCCCUGUCAUCAGCUAACUGCUUUUUAGCAGUCACGACGAACAGAACACAGUCCAUCUUUCUCUAGGCAGCCUGGCAAACAUGGUUAACGUAGCAUGCCUCAAAAUAUGAGAUUUACAAUGUAAAACACUAGUAAUAUUAGGCGCAUAAAUCAAUGUAAGAAACAAACACAACAAAAGCAUUAAUUGAGUACAUUGCUACAUAUUUUGCCCAGUUUUAUACAGAUUGUAUCCUAACCACCACAUUGUCAAGAGCCAAAGCUAAGGGAAAAACAGAUAUUUGAUAAUCACAUAAAAACAGAAAAUGUCCAUCUCUAGUAGUCUUUCUAUGGUGUUCUUCUAUCAAAGGGUAAAAAUAAUAUAAUGAGCCUUAUGCUUAUGAUGAGCCUAAAGGUUUUAUUGACUUACAUAGAGAGCCUAAUUAUUUCCCCACCUCAUAUCAAAGAAAGUGAGUCAAGACUCUAUAGAAAACACAAGAUAAUAGAGUAGAUCUGGCCUGAGAAAGUGGUGGAAUGAAACUACUGUACUUGAUCCUUAGAACAAAUAUAGCUAGGCUAUACAUUAUAUGAACAAUAACCUAUUGGGAAAAGAUGAGCACAUUCAAUAACAAAAGUGGCAGAUUAUUUUCAGAUGCCCUCACAACAUCAACACAAAGACAUUUGUGUAUAUGUAGGAAACCUGGUAGCUACCCCCCACAACAAUAAUGAUGUGUUGGAAUUUCCUGGCAUUACAUGGCAUAACAGCAAAGAAGCCCCAUCCUUUCCCCCCUCCACAGAACAGGCUGAAGCACAGCAAGGCCACAAGACUAAAGCACUGCACAUGCACAGGCUUGUGCAGCCCUGUCUCAUAGCAACAAGUGGAACAUGUGCCUUCAGAAGCACUAGAUGGUUGGUCAAGCUGAAACGUAAAUGGAUGCUGAGGCCCCACAGCGAAGCUGCAAAGUACAGAUAUGCUGCAGUAAUAGGUCUCUAAAGCACACAACACCAUGAGUAACUCAAAACGAUGUCAAAUAAGGGGUCAUUUAAGUAGCUAUGAUGAGGUUUGCAACAUUAGUGGGAAAUGUUCGUAGCUGGUGCUGCUUACAGAAUGAACGUUAGAACGGAUUCAUUGGUGUCUAAGGUUUAUUCAGAGAUUGCAACCUCCGUCCAUUGUCCUUCCCUCCCGCUGUUUUGCCCCACACACCAGUCACAGGAGCUCUGAUCCAGCCUCGCCUCCACCGCCGUGCAACAGUAGCGGAGAGCACAGGUCCCACAGCAGUACUUUGCAUCCUGGCCGUCAUACUGCUCUGGACACUGGAAGCCCUUGUGCCAGAUCUUGUAAGAGUCGGA